rnacentral:tRNA from 1 species
GUGCGAGUAGCUCAGUAUCCUCAUAGAGCACCUGCAUCCAAUACGUGCGCGCGCGUGGAUGUGGGAGGUCGAUGGUUGGAGUCCAUCCUCGCACGCCA